rnacentral:rRNA from 1 species
AGCGAACGCUGGCGGCAGGCUUAACACAUGCAAGUCGAGCGCCCCGCAAGGGAGGCGGCAGACGGGAGAGUAACACGUGGGAACGUACCUUUCAGUUCGGAACAACCCAGGGAAACGUUGGGCUAAUACCGGAUACGCCCGUAAGGGGAAAGAUUUAUCGCUGAAAGAUCGGCCCGCGUCUGAUUAGCUAGUUGGUGAGGUAACGGCUCACCAAGGCGACGAUCAGUAGCUGGUCUGAGAGGAUGAUCAGCCUCAUUGGGAC